rnacentral:rRNA from 1 species
AUUAAGAAGGCCUAGGAGACGCUAGGACCAUUAUUUGCUGACCGUCUAGAACUACACAAGGCAUUCGAGUUGUGUGUGGACCACCGCUUGACGGUGGAGGAGUUUGAACGAAGCCGGACGGCUAUGAUUGAAACAUACCAAGUCCAAGACAACGAGACACUUAAUAGCCUGUGGGAGAAGCGAAUGUAAUGGGUGCCGGCCUACUUCAUGCAGUGCUUCUUUCCAUUUCUGCAGACUACGCAACGCAGCGAGGGGUUCAAUGCUGUUUUGAAGCGGUACGUGAGCCCUGGCAACUCAUUGCUGCAGUUUGCCAAGCAAUGUACAACUGUACAACAGAAAAUACUGGGAUCUAAGCUACAGCAAGAAGCAAACACCACACUCAAGCAGCCUAAAUUGCUAACAUAUUUACCGAUGGAGAGGCAUAUGAGCAAGAUAUACACCAACAAGAUAUUUAACAAGUAA